AUUGAACGCUGGCGGCAGGCCUAACACAUGCAAGUCGAACGGUAACAGGAAACAGCUUGCUGUUUCGCUGACGAGUGGCGGACGGGUGAGUAAUGUCUGGGAAACUGCCUGAUGGAGGGGGAUAACUACUGGAAACGGUAGCUAAUACCGCAUAACGUACAUUUAAGGCAUCUUAGAUGUACCAAAGAUUUUAUCGCUGAAAGAUGGGCUCGCGUCUGAUUAGCUAGUUGGUGAGGUAAUGGCUCACCAAGGCGACGAUCAGUAGCCGGACUGAGAGGUUGAACGGCCACAUUGGGACUGAGACACGGCCCAG
rnacentral:rRNA from 1 species